AUUGAACGCUGGCGGAAUGCUUUACACAUGCAAGUCGAACGGCAGCACGGGGCAACCUGGUGGCGAGUGGCGAACGGGUGAGUAAUAUAUCGGAACGUGCCCAAUCGUGGGGGAUAACGUAGCGAAAGUUACGCUAAUACCGCAUACGAUCUACGGAUGAAAGCGGGGGAUCGCAAGACCUCGCGCGAAUGGAGCGGCCGAUAUCAGAUUAGGUAGUUGGUGGGGUAAAGGCUCACCAAGCCAACGAUCUGUAGCUGGUCUGAGAGGACGACCAGCCACACUGGAACUGAGACACGGUCCAGACUCCUACGGGAGGCAGCAGUGGGGAAUUUUGGACAAUGGGGGGAAACCCUGAUCCAGCCAUGCCGCGUGAGUGAUGAAGGCCUUCGGGUUGUAAAACUACUUUCGUACGGGGACGGAUAAUGACGGUACCCGUACGAAGAAGACUCCGGCGUAACUUCGUGCCAGCAGCCGCGGUAAU
rnacentral:rRNA from 1 species